rnacentral:tRNA from 1 species
UCCGGGGUCGUUCAAUGGUAGGACGAGAGACUUUGGAUCUCUUCAUUGAGGUUCGAAUCCUCACCCCGGAGCCA